CGUAGGAUUAACGUACGAUAUCGCUCGGCCGUGUUCCCCUGCUGGCUCUGACUGAGGCGCUGGCUCUCCGCCCAUUGUCAACGAUCUUGGUUGCGCACCCCAAUUACCCAACGAAAACUUUGUGGCUGGAGAACAUGAAACUUUUCUGAGCGGCUGGUGAUUAAAAAAGGACUGCACUCUCCUGGAAGGAGAUGUCUGAUGUUUCUCCAGGUAUCUGCUGGAGCUACUUCUGCAGUGUGGGGGACACGGCCCCCAGUGCGCCUCUGACCACAGACACCACUCUUGCUUUCACCUUCCAGGGUCUCUCCAGCUUUUCUUUGAGCCCUUGGUAUUUCACUAGUUUCUUGUGUUCCUUUUCCCUGAUAUUGCCAUCGUUGGGGAAAUCUACAUCGAUUACAAUGGCUUUCCUUUGUUGCUUAUUAUGAUCGUGAUGUUCAGUUGGUUGGCUACGACCAUUUUAUCCGUCUGUAUCCGGAAGUCCCACAGGAUCUUAGCCCUCUCAUUUUCCACCAACUUGGGAUGGGUUUCCCAUUGCGAUUUAGGGGUCUCCAGUCCAUACUCCACACAGAUGUUUCUGUACACUAUACCAGCUACUUAGGGAUAGUGUUCCAUGUAUUGUUUUCCUGCUAGAAUCUUACACCCUAUUAUCUUUUGGACUGUUUCAGGGGUCUCUUUGCGCAGCCUGCACCUGGGAAUCCCAGGGGUCUCUCUGCGCAUCCUGCACCUGGGAUCCUGCCUGGUGUGGUAUAUUUGGGUUUCUAUUGCUCUAGUGCUCACGGCCUGCUCUUGUGCUGUCAUGACUAGCACCUCUGUGCUGUUUUUCAGUCCAGCCCUUAUUCAUAUCUGCCACUUGUAUCUCACAGUAUAUUAUCCUUUACUUGUUUCGGUUUUGUCCUUUAGCAAAAUGUGAAUUUGAGUAUAUGUUGACUUUUGUUUUGUGACGGAUGGUUUUAUUUUGACGAAUGAAGCGUACAGUAGGUAGUACUUUCACAUGCGAGUAAGAAUGCAUGUACACAUUACGGAGAGCGCACACAUGAAAUAAAGCGCAUUUGCUCCCUAGAAGAAAUCACAAAGCCGAGUGAGGGAAAAAUAACAGCUUAGCUUGCUGUGUAGCUAAGACUUAGUUCCAACGUUUUGGCGAGGACAGUACAAUGACGCAUGAUACAUGUUUUUGGACAGAUACAGUAGUUUGUUUUUUAAAAAGGUAUUUAAGGGUACUGCAGACAUACGCAGAAAUUCAGGUUACGUCGCCCAAACACUUGAACAGUAGUGUGUGUAUAUACUAUAUAUUACAUAUACAUAAAUGCAACUUUGUCUAUGUGUCUGGGAGUGUGUCUGUGUGCCUGUUCGUUCCCUUUAGACUCUGAAAUAGCUGGGCGGAUUUUAACGAAAUUUUGUACUGUAUAUUUCUGAUAGUGUUCCUAGAUGGGUUUGAUCUCUGUAGGCCUCCAUUUGAAUAUGAAAUAAAUCGCACACCAUAGUUUAAUGAAAAGAAGCAGAAUAGAUACACAACGCCAUCUUAUCACAGAAGCCCAACCUGUGUGUCACGAGCAAGACUGAUGCACCAACUCUUGAUAUCAGUUCUCCCGAACACCAACAAGGACAAAGAGCAGCGCGCUUUGUCCUAAAACAAGUUGCGCCAGCCCAGAUAACAAGGUUGAUAGCGGGCGCUUGGGACGUCAAGACCAGCGUCGGUCGCUGUGGCAACCACGUCCCAUCCACGCAUGAACCUAACCGCCCAAAACCGGCCACAAAGGGAUGAUCCCGAAACAACACCCUUCGGACCGGCCCAUUCCACCGCAGCCUUUAAAAACACUGGACACUGAGAACACAGAUUUGCUGCUCAGAAACAUUUUCUAUGUAGCUUUGUUUUGGAUCUAGAAUUGUUCCUCCGUCGUCUGUUUUUGCCUUGUUUUUUGAC